GACGAACGCUGGCGGCGUGCCUAAUACAUGCAAGUAGAACGCUUAAGAGAGGAGCUUGCUCUUCUUGGCUGAGUUGCGAACGGGUGAGUAACGCGUAGGUAACCUGCCUUGUAGCGGGGGUUAACUAUUGGAAACGAUAGCUAAUACCGCAUAACAAUGGAUGACCCAUGUCAUUUAUUUGAAAGGGGCAAAUUCUCCACUACAAGAUGUACCUGCGUUGUAUUAGCUAGUAGGUGAGGUAACGGCUCACCUACGCGACGAUACAUAGCCGACCUGAGAGGGUGAUCGGCCAAACUGGGACUGGGAGACGGCCCAGACUACCACGGGAGGGAGCAGGAGGGAAACAUCGGCAAAGGGGGCAACACAGAACGAGCAACGCAGGGUGAGUGAAGAAGGGUUUCGGAUAGUAAAGCACGGUUGUAAGUCGAGAACGGGUGUGAGAGUGGAAAGUGCAAACUGAGACGAUAGCUGACCAGAAAGGGACGGCUAACUACGUG
rnacentral:rRNA from 1 species